UACAGAGGGGGCAAGCGUUAUUCGGAAUUAUUGGGCGUAAAGGGCGCGUAGGCGGCGAUUCAAGUGACGGGUGAAAUCCCUCGGCUUAACCGAGGAACUGCCUGUCAGACUGGAUUGCUUGAGGCCGGGAGAGGCGAGUGGAAUUCCCAGUGUAGCGGUGAAAUGCGUAGAUAUUCGCAAGAACACCAGUGGCGAAGGCGGCUCACUGGCCCGGUACUGACGCUGAGGUGCGAAAGCGUGGGGAGCAAACAGG
rnacentral:rRNA from 1 species